GUCCGCACCGUAAACGAUGAUUACUCGUUGUUGGCGAUAUGACAGUCAGCGACCAAGCGAAAGCGAUAAGUAAUCCACCUGGGGAGUACGCCGGCAACGGUGAAACUCAAAGGAAUUGACGGGGGCCCGCACAAGCGGAGGAGCAUGUGGUUUAAUUCGAUGAUACGCGAGGAACCUUACCUGGGCUUGAAAGUUAGUGACCGUCUCUGAAAGGAGAUUUUUCCGCAAGGACACGAAACUAGGUGCUGCAUGGCUGUCGU
rnacentral:rRNA from 1 species